GAAGGUGAAGCAGGGCUUCGGCCCUGUGGAAACUGGCGCACGGGUGAGUAACGCGUGGGAAUCUACAUUGGGGUGGGGAAUAACCGCUGGAAACGGCGGCUAAUACCGCAUACGCCUUUCGAGGGAAAGCUUUUGCGCCCUGAGAUGAGCCCGCGUCGGAUUAGCUUGUUGGUGGGGUAAAAGCCCACCAAGGCGACGAUCCGUAGCUGGUCUGAGAGGAUGAUCAGCCACACUGGGACUGAGACACGGCCCAGACUCCUACGGGAGGCAGCAGUGGGGAAUAUUGGACAAUGGGGGCAACCCUGAUCCAGCCAUGCCGCGUGCGUGAAGAAGGCCUUAGGGUUGUAAAGCGCUUUCGGCGGGGAAGAUGAUGACGGUACCCGCAGAAGAAGCCCCGGCUAACUCCGUGCCAGCAGCCGCGGUAAUACGGAGGGGGCAAGCGUUGUUCGGAAUUACUGGGCGUAAAGGGCGCGUAGGCGGACCAUCAUGUCAGGGGUGAAAGCCCUGGGCUCAACCUGGGAACUGCCCUUGAAACUGAUGGUCUAGAGUCCGAGAGAGGA
rnacentral:rRNA from 1 species